AAAUCAGAAAAAAUCGCCAUACAGGUCCCACACUUAUAAGAUCCUUCACCUUCCAUGAUUAAUUUCUUUCUUUUCCUUCUCUUUUCUCUUUCUUUCUU
rnacentral:ribozyme from 13 species